rnacentral:rRNA from 1 species
CGGGGUGAGUAACACGUGGAUAACCUAACUAUAAGACUGGGAUAACUUCGGGAAACCGGAGCUAAUACCGGAUAAUAUUUUGAACCGCAUGGUUCAAAAGUGAAAGACGGUCUUGCUGUCACUUAUAGAUGGAUCCGCGCUGCAUUAGCUAGUUGGUAAGGUAACGGCUUACCAAGGCAACGAUGCAUAGCCGACCUGAGAGGGUGAUCGGCCACACUGGAACUGAGACACGGUCCAGACUCCUACGGGAGGCAGCAGCC